rnacentral:rRNA from 1 species
UACGUAGGGGGCAAGCGUUGUCCGGAAUCAUUGGGCGUAAAGAGCGUGUAGGCGGCCAGACAGGUCCGUUGUGAAAACUGGAGGCUCAACCUCCAGACGUCGAUGGAAACCGUCUGGCUAGAGUCCGGAAGAGGAGAGUGGAAUUCCUGGUGUAGCGGUGAAAUGCGCAGAUAUCAGGAGAAACACCGGUGGCGAAGGCGGGAUCCUGGGCCAGUACUGACGCUGAGGAGCGAAAGCCAGGGGAGCAAACGGG